GAGUUUGUAUCCUGGCUCAGAUUGAACGCUGGCGGCAGGCCUAACACAUGCAAGUCGAGCGGUAGAGAGAAGCUUGCUCCUCUUGAGAGCGGCGGACGGGUGAGUAAUGCCUAGGAAUCUGCCUGGUAGUGGGGGAUAACGCUCGGAAACGGACGCUAAUACCGCAUACGUCCUACGGGAGAAAGCAGGGGACCUUCGGGCCUUGCGCUAAUCAGAUGAGCCUAGGUCGGAUUAGCUAGUUGGUGAGGUAAUGGCUCUACCAAGGCGACGAUCCGUAACUGGUCUGAGAGGAUGAUCAGUCACACUGGAACUGAGACACGGUCCAGACU
rnacentral:rRNA from 1 species